rnacentral:rRNA from 1 species
GCCCUUGAGUUUGAUCAUGGCUCAGGACGAACGCUGGCGGCGUGCUUAACACAUGCAAGUUGGGCGUGAACGCUUACCUUCGGGUAAGUUAGUAGAGCAGCGGACGGGUGAGUAACGCGUAAAGAACCUGUCCUCAAGUCCGGGAUAACCUUACGAAAGUGGGGCUAAUCCGGGAUAGACUGGUUGGUGGUUAUCCACCGGUCAGUAAAGGUGGUGCCUUUGGUGCUGCUGUUUGGGGAGGGCUUUGCGUCGGAUUAGCCGGCUGGUGAGAUAAAAGCUCACCAGGGCAUCGAUCCGUAGCUGGUCUAAGAGGACGAUCAGCCACACUGGGACUGAGACACGGCCCAGACUCCUACGGGAGGCAGCAGUGGGGAAUCUUCCGCAAUGGGCGCAAGCCUGACGGAGCAACGCCGCGUGAGUGAAGAAGGCCUUCGGGUUGUAAAGUUCUGUCGUGGGGGAAGAACCGUACACAGAGUAACUGUUGUGUACCUGACGGUACCCCACAAGGAAGCCCUGGCUAACUACGUGCCAGCAGCCGCGGUAACACGUAGAGGGCAAGCGUUGUCCGGAAUCAUUGGGCGUAAAGGGUAGGCAGGCGGAUAUGCAAGUCGAAUGUGAAAGGUACCGGCUCAACCGGUAGAGUGCAUUUGAAACUGCAUAUCUUGAGGGCAGCA